CAUAGGUUAAUGAGGCGAACCGGGGGAACUGAAACAUCUAAGUACCCCGAGGAAAAGAAAUCAACCGAGAUUCCCCCAGUAGCGGCGAGCGAACGGGGAGCAGCCCAGAGCCUGAAUCAGUAUGUGUGUUAGUGGAAGCGUCUGGAAAGGCGCGCGAUACAGGGUGACAGCCCCGUACACAAAAAUGCACAUGCUGUGAGCUCGAUGAGUAGGGCGGGACACGUGGUAUCCUGUCUGAAUAUGGGGGGACCAUCCUCCAAGGCUAAAUACUCCUGACUGACCGAUAGUGAACCAGUACCGUGAGGGAAAGGCGAAAAGAACCCCGGCGAGGGGAGUGAAAAAGAACCUGAAACCGUGUACGUACAAGCAGUGGGAGCACGCUUAGGCGUGUGACUGCGUACCUUUUGUAUAAUGGGUCAGCGACUUAUAUUCUGUAGCAAGGUUAACCGAAUAGGGGAGCCGAAGGGAAACCGAGUCUUAACUGGGCGUUAAGUUGCAGG
rnacentral:rRNA from 1 species